UACGGAGGGGGCUAGCGUUGUCCGGAAUUAUUGGGCGUAAAGAGCUCGUAGGCGGUUUGUCGCGUCUGCUGUGAAAUCCCGAGGCUCAACCUCGGGCCUGCAGUGGGUACGGGCAGACUAGAGUGCGGUAGGGGAGAUUGGAAUUCCUGGUGUAGCGGUGGAAUGCGCAGAUAUCAGGAGGAACACCGAUGGCGAAGGCAGAUCUCUGGGCCGUAACUGACGCUGAGGAGCGAAAGCGUGGGGAGCGAACAGG
rnacentral:rRNA from 1 species